UCUGGCGGUGAUGACUCACUUGCCCUCACUGAGAACAAAGUUGGGUGAUGAGAACCUUUGUUAUGGACUCGAGUUCUGAGCCAGA